rnacentral:rRNA from 1 species
UACGUAGGGGGCAAGCGUUGUCCGGAUUUAUUGGGCGUAAAGAGCGUGUAGGCGGCCGUACAGGUCAGCUGUGAAAACUCGAGGCUCAACCUCGAGACGUCGGUUGAAACCGUAUGGCUAGAGUCCGGAAGAGGAGAGUGGAAUUCCUGGUGUAGCGGUGAAAUGCGCAGAUAUCAGGAAGAACACCCGUGGCUAAGGCGGCUCUCUAGUACGGUACUGACGCUGAGACGCGAAAGCGUGGGGAGCGAACAGG